rnacentral:rRNA from 1 species
AACGAACGCUGGCGGCAUGCCUUACACAUGCAAGUCGAACGGCAGCACGGGAGCAAUCCUGGUGGCGAGUGGCGAACGGGUGAGUAAUAUAUCGGAACGUGCCCAGUCGUGGGGAUAACGUAGCGAAAGCUACGCUAAUACCGCAUACGAUCUACGGAUGAAAGCGGGGGAUCGCAAGACCUCGCGCGAUUGGAGCGGCCGAUAUCAGAUUAGGUAGUUGGUGAGGUAAAGGCUCACCAAGCCGACGAUCUGUAGCUGGUCUGAGAGGACGACCAGCCACACUGGGACUGAGACACGGCCCAGACUCCUACGGGAGGCAGCAGUGGGGAAUAUUGGACAAUGGGCGCAAGCCUGAUCCAGCAAUGCCGCGUGCAGGAUGAAGGCC